rnacentral:lncRNA from 1 species
UGCAAGGUGGUGGAGGUCGUUGCCGAGACCACCGCGCCGCUGCUGCCCACGGAGGACCUCCUCGCCAGGGUCCCCUCCGACCCCGGCAGGGCACCGCCCCCAGCUCCCGCGGCUCCGGCCGUCGUUACAGAGGCGCCGAAGGAGCCGCCUCCAGCAGCGGCGGCGGCACCACCACCAGCCGCAGCACCUCCGGCAACGGCAGCGGAACCAGCACCAGUUGCAGCACCCCCAGCACCGUCACCGGCACCAGCUGCGGCAGCAAAAGCAGAGCGGCCGCUCUCG